GAUGAACGCUGGCGGCGUGCCUAAUACAUGCAAGUCGAGCGAACAGACGAGGAGCUUGCUCCUCUGACGUUAGCGGCGGACGGGUGAGUAACACGUGGAUAACCUACCUAUAAGACUGGGAUAACUUCGGGAAACCGGAGCUAAUACCGGAUAAUAUAUUGAACCGCAUGGUUCAAUAGUGAAAGACGGUUUUGCUGUCACUUAUAGAUGGAUCCGCGCCGCAUUAGCUAGUUGGUAAGGUAACGGCUUACCAAGGCAACGAUGCGUAGCCGACCUGAGAGGGUGAGCGGCCACACUGGAACUGAGACACGGGCCAGACUCCUACGGGAGGCAGCAGUAGGGAAUCUUCCGCAAUGGGCGAAAGCCUGACGGAGCAACGCCGCGUGAGUGAUGAAGGUCUUCGGAUCGUAAAACUCUGUUAUUAGGGAAGAACAAAUGUGUAAGUAACUAUGCACGUCUUGACGGUACCUAAUCAGAAAGCCACGGCUAACUACGUG
rnacentral:rRNA from 1 species